rnacentral:rRNA from 1 species
UACGAAGGGUGCAAGCGUUACUCGGAAUUACUGGGCGUAAAGCGUGCGUAGGUGGUUGUUUAAGUCUGUCGUGAAAGCCCUGGGCUCAACCUGGGAAUUGCGAUGGAUACUGGGCGACUAGAGUGUGGUAGAGGGAUGUGGAAUUUCCGGUGUAGCAGUGAAAUGCGUAGAGAUCGGAAGGAACAUCUGUGGCGAAGGCGACAUCCUGGGCCAACACUGACACUGAGGCACGAAAGCGUGGGGAGCAAACAGG